rnacentral:rRNA from 1 species
UACGGGGGGGGGCAAGCGUUGUUCGGAAUUACUGGGCGUAAAGGGCUCGUAGGCGGCCAACUAAGUCAGACGUGAAAUCCCUCGGCUUAACCGGGGAACUGCGUCUGAUACUGGAUGGCUUGAGUUUGGGAGAGGGAUGCGGAAUUCCAGGUGUAGCGGUGAAAUGCGUAGAUAUCUGGAGGAACACCGGUGGCGAAGGCGGCAUCCUGGACCAACACUGACACUGAGGAGCGAAAGCCAGGGGGAGCAAACGGG